rnacentral:lncRNA from 1 species
GAAAAAAAACAAAAAUAUAUUGACAUUAAACAUUUAUCAACUAAAAAAAUAAUUCAUCAGACAGAGUAAUAAAUACAAAGAGUUUAAUAUUUUAGUUACAUUGAGAUUUAAUAAAAAAUACAUAGUUGUCUUGAGAAAAUGUAAAAUUGAGAUUACAAAUACAAAUUCGUGUGUGUGUAAAGAGGUAUAAAAGACAAUUUGAUUUCAAUAGCAACCGAAUAGCAUUUUAAAACUAUUCCCAAUCGCAAGAUACUUUGUCGUCAUCUCCUAUGCAUUAAGAAUUUAUUCUCCACAACUUGAAUCAAUGCCCCUUUCACUUCUACUUAUUUUUGAAGUAGAGCUAUCUAUUUUUUUAAUUUGUUUUAGCAUAUCCUACCCUUUUUCUCUCCAUUUGCUCCUGCCAAUUAUUGAAUAUGCUGAUGAAGAAACUGUAAGUAAAACAAAGAAAGAAAGAAAAAUCUAGAACAAUGAAAGAAAAACAAAAACUAGAACAAGAAAAGUCAGUUUACUUCAAUGUAUUCCAAUGAUAACAACAACAGAAAUUGCAAGUCAUGGAUCCCCAUCUUAGCAUCUGAUGUUACUCCAUUCAGAAAUGUUACUACUAUUUUCAUUUUGUACAUUCAACUUCUAAUAAGUUACAGAGCCAUUUAAAAUUGAAAUUGCAAAUCAAGACAUAAGACAGAUUCAAUAACACAAAUAAUUUAAAUCUUUUACACAAAUAUCAUCCAUCAUCCACUUAGGUUAAUGUGAUGAAAGAAAUAUUCUCAAUUUCAUAUUUUCAUAAGCAAUUUGCACACAACUCUAAAAUAAAAGACACUGGAACAUGAUGUUGUUAAGUUUUAUAAAACUUACAGUCCCUACAGCAAAGUUUGGUGACAUAAACGUGUUUGCGUUAAAACAAGAAAGACGAAAAUGGCAAACCUAGAUGAACAAAGUUGAUAUUAAAAAGAAGGAAUUAAAUCAGCUUCAUCAUAUGAAACAAAAAUUGGAAUCCACAAAGCGUGCAUGUACAGAAGAAGAUGUCAAUCAAAAUUCGAAAUGAGUGGCAACACCACCGUAGAAGAUGGGGAAAAAUAUACGCUAAGUACUAAAACGAAGACACUAGUAACUUUCAGUUGAAAUUAUAAUAAGAAAUUAAUUUUAGCUUUUUGCAGUUGAUGAUUUCAAAUCGCAUCUAAAUUGAUAUAUGGAACAAUUGAAUUAUAUUAUGCUUCUCCCCUAACAUACCACAUAAAUAAAACAAUCAAUUGAAAGCCGCAAACCAUUUCAAAUACCUAAACUCACUGAUCCAACACAAAAGAAUGUAGCAGAGCAUUUUUGUUUUUCUCAAACCAAGGCAUGUAAAUACCACAAUCUAAACCACCAAAAAAGGGAAAAAAAUUAAAAACCCUUAUAACAAAAUUGCAUCUAUAUACACUUCAAGCAAAUCUUCAACAAGCAUUUUCAUCUAUCACGAAUCCAUGGAAAAAAUCAAAAGUACACAACUAAAAAUCUAAAACAAUUUUCAAGACCCUUUUUCAAUUAAUUACAAAACCAUAAAAGAUAUUCGACUUAACUUUAUCUUCAACAUGAUUUGGGUUAAUCAUUUAACCGUAACUAACGCGAAUCGAUGGAAAAAUCAGGAGAAACAGCUACAUUCUCAAACAAUUUUGAGACCCAUUUUCAAUUUUUCACUAGAAAUUCUAAUUUUAGCCAAUGAAAAUAACAUGCACUAAAAGAAAUUGAUACAUACCUCAUUCACAUCUCCAAAACAACAUGAUGUUUGGUCGUUCGAUGGCGAAACUCACUAGUUGUGAAUCAUUCGUCAUCAAUAUUGACGUCGUCAACUUUGUCGUCAUGGUCUCUAGUUUGUGGGCACAGUUCUUGAUCAAUUCAUUAUAGAGAAAAGAAAAUGGGUUUUGAGCUACCGUGCUUCGAUUUUGGUGGAGGAAAUAGACGAGCUGUAUUUCUAUUUUUGGCGGAUGAAAGAGAUGAAUGGAGUUCAGAGUCCAAUGUGAAAAUCUUAAAUGUUUUAAAACUUUUUAUCAUUAACUUAUUCAAUUACGAUCUUGCCCUCAUCUACCUAACACAUACGAAACGAAAUACUAACAUUAGGGGAGUUUCCUAAAAAUAAUUGAAUACGUUCUAUCAAACUGAGAAUACGCCAUACAUUAGGGGAGGUUUCUGAAAAUGACCCAAAAUGAAAAGAAAUAAUAUCUAAUUUUUUAAAAUAAAUAUAUCUCUACUACGUUACAGAAGAAUCUAUAAAAAUAUUGACAAACCCAACUCAAGCACUGAACAAUUAAUGUGAAAAGGAAAGCACAAAUUUAAAGAUAUCAUAUUUCCGUACUUUAUGACAUAAAUUUUGAGAUGAUUCUUAAUGUUUGAUUGGGAUCAAUGAUUCAAUUCAUAACCCCUCUUUGUUUACAUGCUGGGCUUAUUAGGACUCAUUAACAAUAAUUUUAUUAUAAAUUGAGAAUAACCCUAAAAUUUUGGAUCAGAAUCUUUUUUUUAUAUGAUCUUUUAUGAUCUUUAUCAGAACAAAUGUUAUUAAUAUAAUUAGUGAUUGAUAAAUUAAAAAAAAUAAUUAAAUUUUUAUUAUAUAAUAAUAUUAAAAUAUAUAUGACAUAAAAUUUAUAAAAAAAUCAUGAGUGUUCGUAUUAGGAGAAACCCUCAAUCCCAAAAUUUUGUAAUAAUUGCCUUAUCUAUAAAUUAUCAAAAUUAUUAAUGACAUCCCCUUGUGGCACAGAAAAAGAGAAGCAAGACAACUAUUUAUAAAAAUAAAUAAAAAUAAAAAUAAUAUAUACACAGGAAGUGUCAGGCUAACAACAACUCUCCCGUAAUCGAAAAAAAAAAAAUACGGGGACUAAAAACUGUCGACCUUUUAUCAUCAAUUCAUCAUCAUAAUUUAUUGAUUGAGAGAGUAAAAAAAUAAAUUACUUUGAGAAGAAGAAAUCGGAGUGAUGGCGAUGCGUGAGCUAGUCACCGGCGGAGCUGCUUGCGCGGUUCCAGGCUCUUCUUCUUCUUCAAAUCCCCUCGGUGC